UAAUUUAACUCGAAAUAUGAUUUGGUGGUGAACACAUUUAGAAAUUACUAACCGCGAGUGUUUUGUCAGGUUCAGUGUUAAGUUCGUUCGUUAAUUUAUGUUAUAACGUUAUAUGCUUUACGCUUCUUUUCUUUUAUUUUUAGUUGGUCGACACGUCCUCUCGCCUCUGUUCCCUCCUUGGCCUGGGGUUACUGCGAGUCUGGCGCUGAAGACUGAAGCUGCUAACGUUAUAUUCGAAGCCUCAGAAGACCUUCAAGGAUCCAGUUGACCUCUGAAUCAGCUGGUAAGAAAAUGGGACAGUUAUAUUGCUUCAAUUGGUCUCCUACUUCAUUUGAUUCCACCUUCAUUACAAGGCUGCAAGGGAUCUGGAAAAAUGUCAUCCUGUCAAGCUGAAAAACAUCUUCAAAAAGGCACUAACAAGAACAGCUUGAUUGCAGAGAAGAGUCCACACAGCCAUACACGCUCACUGAUGGGACAGUGAGGAACAUCAUUCAUGGAUGCUACACAACUCAAAUCUACACGUCAUAUUUGGUUCAUGUCUAGGUAAAUUUGAUGAUUUUGUGUUUUAUUAAUUACUUUGUUUCUGUGCAACACUUAAUGAAUGUGACUGACUAAUUAACCUCUACACAUCUGGUAUAUGCUUUAAAGUUGCCACUUUGCCCGUUUGUUCAAUAAAUGUUGAAAUGUAUACAUCUGUCUGAAGACUUUCCUGAUUUUAUGUCUAUCCUUUUACAUUAACUUUAUUUUUAUCAUAAUUAACAUUUUAUCUUUUUUGUUUGCACUGAAAAGAGGACAUUAUUAAUUACGCUUAAAACAACAGCAGAGGUGUUAAAUACCCCAUAGUGUAAAAUUUGAACAGCAAUAGCAUGUGUAACACUUUACACUUGGAGUGUAAUUUUUCUAGACAUUGUUUAAAAUGAAAUGUAAAAUGUGAAAAUGAA